rnacentral:rRNA from 1 species
UACGUAGGGUGCGAGCGUUAAUCGGAAUUACUGGGCGUAAAGCGUGCGCAGGCGGUUCUGCAAGUCAGAUGUGAAAUCCCCGGGCUUAACCUGGGAACUGCGUUUGAAACUACGGAGCUAGAGUGCAGCAGAGGGGGGUGGAAUUCCACGUGUAGCAGUGAAAUGCGUAGAUAUGUGGAGGAACACCGAUGGCGAAGGCAGCCCCCUGGGCCGACACUGACGCUCAGGCACGAAAGCGUGGGGAGCAAACAGG